rnacentral:rRNA from 1 species
UAGAUACCCUGGUAGUCCUGGCAGUAAACGAUGUAUGCUGGGUGUGGGACUAGCGAUAGUUCCGUGCCGAAGUUAACGCGAUAAGCAUACCGCCUGGGGAGUACGGUCGCAAGAUUGAAACUCAAAGGAAUUGACGGGGGCCCGCACAAGCGGUGGAGCACGUGGUUUAAUUCGAUGCAAACCGAAGAACCUUACCUGGACUUGACAUCCACGCGGUAGAGAAGCGAAAGCGGAUCGACCCUUUCGCAAG